UGGGGAAUAUUGCACAAUGGGCGAAAGCCUGAUGCAGCAACGCCGCGUGAGUGAUGAAGGCCUUCGGGUUGUAAAGCUCUGUCUUUUGGGACGAUAAUGACGGUACCAAAGGAGGAAGCCACGGCUAACUACGUGCCAGCAGCCGCGGUAAUACGUAGGUGGCAAGCGUUGUCCGGAUUUACUGGGCGUAAAGGAUGCGUAGGCGGAUUUUUAAGUGAGAUGUGAAAACCCUAAGCUUAACUUGGGGACUGCAUUUCAUACUGGAAAUCUAGAGUGCGGGAGAGGAGAAUGGAAUUCCUAGUGUAGCGGUGAAAUGCGUAGAGAUUAGGAAGAACACCAGUGGCGAAGGCGAUUCUCUGGACCGUAACUGACGCUGAGGCAUGAAAAGCGUGGGGUAGCAAAACAGGAUUAGAUACCCUGGUAGUCCACGCCGUAAACGAUGAGUACUAGGUGUAGGAGGUAUCGACCCCUUCUGUGCCGCAGUUAACACAAUAAGUACUCCGCCUGGGAAGUACGAUCGCAAGAUUAAAAACUC
rnacentral:rRNA from 1 species